rnacentral:rRNA from 1 species
CACCGCGGUUAUACGAGAGGCCCAAGUUGACAAAUACCGGCGUAAAAUGUGGUUAGUACAAUCUGCUCAACUAAAGUCAAACAUCUUCAAAACUGUUAUACGCACUUGAAGGCAGGAAGCCCUAUUACGAAAGUGACUUUAAAAAUUAUUACUCCACGAAAGCUAGGGAA